ensembl:ncRNA C34B4.13 ncRNA
ACCCGAGUGAAAAAAAGCACCUGUUGUAGACACUUUCUCCCAUUUUGUGAAAAGGUGUUCAGCAGAUGUGUGCCAGGCUCUCAGACUCCACUACUCACAGUUUUAUGGGCAAGUUGGGUACUUGGAGCUGCGCAACUCGAAGAUUCUAUUAAAUUGGAGUAAAAUACGAAAGUAAAGAAAAUUGAGGAAAAAGUGAUGAAAAUUUUAAAGAAAUCUGAGAUGAUUUCACAGUGAAAACGAACACACUUUUGAUUGAAGUGGUUGAGAAGGAG